rnacentral:rRNA from 1 species
GCGAAUGGCUCAUUAAAUCAGUUAUCGUUUAUUUGAUAGUACCUUUUUACUUGGAUAACCGUGGUAAUUCUAGAGCUAAUACAUGCUAAAAACCCCGACUCCGGGAGGGGUGUAUUUAUUAGAUAAAAAACCAAUGCCCUUCGGGGCUCCUUGGUGAAUCAUGAUAACUUUACGAAUCGCAUGGCCUUGCGCCGGCGAUGGUUCAUUCAAAUUUCUGCCCUAUCAACUUUCGAUGGUAGGAUAGUGGCCUACCAUGGUUUCAACGGGUAACGGGGAAUUAGGGUUCUAUUCCGGAGAGGGAGCCUGAGAAACGGCUACCACAUCCAAGGAAGGCAGCAGGCGCGCAAAUUACCCAAUCCCAACACGGGGAGGUAGUGACAAUAAAUACUGAUACAGGGCUCUUUUGGGUCUUGUAAUUGGAAUGAGUACAAUUUAAAUCCCUUAACGAGGAACAAUUGGAGGGCAAGUCUGGUGCCAGCAGCCGCGGUAAUUCCAGCUCCAAUAGCGUAUAUUAAAGUUGUUGCAGUUAAAAAGCUCGUAGUUGAACCUUGGGCCUGGCUGGCCGGUCCGCCUCACCGCGUGCACUGGUCCGGCCGGGCCUUUCCUUCUGGGGAGCCGCAUGCCCUUCACUGGGUGUGCCGGGGAACCAGGACUUUUACUUUGAAAAAAUUAGAGUGUUCAAAGCAGGCCUAUGCUCGAAUACAUUAGCAUGGAAUAAUAGAAUAGGACGUGCGGUUCUAUUUUGUUGGUUUCUAGGACCGCCGUAAUGAUUAAUAGGGAUAGUCGGGGGCAUCAGUAUUUAAUUGUCAGAGGUGAAAUUCUUGGAUUUAUUAAAGACUAACUACUGCGAAAGCAUUUGCCAAGGAUGUUUUCAUUAAUCAGUGAACGAAAGUUAGGGGAUCGAAGACGAUCAGAUACCGUCGUAGUCUUAACCAUAAACUAUGCCGACUAGGGAUCGGACGGUGUUGUUAUUUUGACCCGUUCGGCACCUUACGAGAAAUCAAAGUUUUUGGGUUCUGGGGGGAGUAUGGUCGCAAGGCUGAAACUUAAAGAAAUUGACGGA